GUUGCGAGAGCAAAAUGUGUCUCGGAGAACAAACUGGAAAAUUGGUGUGAGUGGGAUGAAAACAUAUCCGUGUGUGGAAGCGGUAUACAUGCGUGUGGAAAAUGCCGUUGGGCUCGCUCAAAGUCACACUUGCAAGCCCUCAAGUUGAAUUUGCGCACACCACGUUGGCCUGCGCUCGCGGAACACGUCCUCUGCUCGCUCGACCACAUUUCUCUCUCGAUAAAAGUGUUUGAUUGAGCAAUGAUGUUUCCUUCCUGAUUUCUCGCGCCCGUUCGAUUUUUAUAUAAUCGGAUUUGACACCAUACAGUUGUAGUGGUUUCUAUGUGGUGUAUACAUUGGAUUUAUCCAACGUUUGCGUCAAAUUGUAUGCGUAGACUUUCCAGAAAUAGUGACAAAAGUACUGAUGCAAUGACGCUGUCGGUUGCCCGCCAUCCACCACCGACGCCCAUCCUUGCAAGGCGAUCUUUGCAAACUGUUAAGGCACUCAGCUGCCUCUGGUGGAUGAAUUGCCGUGUUGGCUCACAAUGUGUAACUCACUAGGACAGACAUCUACUUUAAUAAAGCAGUUGGUGGCU